rnacentral:lncRNA from 1 species
GCCUAAUCUCAUUUCCCAAUCCUUACAAGAUGGAUUCACCACCUUUUCCAAUAUUCGCUUGAUCUCCCGAUUCGACACCUCUGCUUGGCCACAAGUCUGUGGAUGAUAGGCCGUAACAACUUUGUGCUUCACCUCAUACUUAGCGAGCAAUUUGGUGAAGUGCUUAUUGUACCAAAUCGUGUGAAUAUGUUUUUCUUUAAGAAAUGUAGCACUACUUUGGCAUCAUUUGUAGGUAACACAGCCACUUCAAUCCAUUUUGAU